UCUGAGGCUCUAGGCUUGAGAUAAUCCUUUCUCGAUGACAUCUUAUUUCUUGAUCCUUACUACAACACUGUGAUGGAGGAAGCACAAAAAAUAUUUUCAUCCCUUUUUUCUACAAAAGAGGAAACGAAGACCUGAAACGUGGAGUCUUUUGUGAGGUCACACAGGGAGCAGAAAUCACACCUUUAGAGGUCAGAAGCCUCCUAACUCGGUUCAGGUCGCUUCUCACUUAGUUUUGCUUCACUCGGGACUGUUCGCAUCUCAACUUUACACAGCCAUGCGCCAGACAUCAGUCUAGGUCCUGAAACCACCCUAGUGGAGAGCGACGUAUCCCCACUUCAAAGGCGGGCCAACCAGCACAAAGAGAAGAGCACCAUUUGUUGAAGAGACUCAUCUUUCCCCACUUAGUGGAUUUGGCUCCCUUGUCAAGAAUCAGUUGUCCAUGUGGAUCAUGGAUGAACCUUGAAGAUACCAUAUUGAAUGAAGUAUAACUUGGAGAUAUUGAGGUUUCAGUUCCACAAUAAGGCAAGUAUCUCAAUAAAGUGAGUCACAUCCAUUUUUUUGAUAUCUAGUGCAUAUCUAAUUAUGUUUAUUCUGUAGCUAUUAAGCAUGCAAUAUCAUGUCUAAAAAAUAGCAAUGUACAUACCUUAAUUAACAUGUGGCACAGAGAA